rnacentral:rRNA from 1 species
UUACGGUCAAAUCACGCUGAAACACCGGUUCUCGUACGAUCACCGAAGUCAAGCAUCGUAGAGCCAGGUCAGUACUUAGAUGGGGGACCGCUUGGGAACACCUGGUAGUGUAAG